rnacentral:lncRNA from 10 species
UCUCUCCCCUUCCCUGAACCUGCCGAAGUCCCAGAGAAUCUCCUAGACUCUCCCACUGCUGACGACUUCAUCCACCAUCAAAGCCUCCGCCAGGGCUCCUCGGCCUAGCCACUGAAGACUGACAAGGCCCAGGGCCCCUGGCCCCCACUGCCAUCACUGCAUGGAGCCCAGUGUAACUCUACUGGUAGCAGUUUUUACAGGACCCUAUCAGCGCUUUCACCCACGGGACAAUACAAAAUAUGAUGCUGCUCCAGGAAUACCAGAGGCUCCAAGAACAGCAGUCCCUACCGUCCAGCCUUCCCCGACAACUGUCGCCCUCUCCCAGUAAGAAGCAGCCAGAUGAUAACAGCACCCCUCUUCCAUUACCUAUUAAAAGUCUGGCAUGAGAGGGACAACUGCCCCGAGAAAGCUUCUUUGUGCUGCCCACCCCUCCCCCAAUGCUCUGCAAUUCUUCUCCAUGCCGCCCACCCUUCCCCAAGCCUCUUUACGUUUCUAAGCCCUUAUGUAGUCGCUACGGUGAAGCCAACAGACUUCACUUAUCAGACCUUGCUGCGAUAAGCAAACCCCAAUAACAAACCAUCCAGACCGCACAGGGGGAGGUUGUGGGAAGCACAAACAAACUUUACUACACCCUCCUGUAAUAAAUGUCACAAGGUGAUAUGUGGCAAAAUUAACCAGCAAACAACCCUGGGAUGCAACCAUACCAAAAAACUCCCUCAAACUUCCCUCCCCAAUAUAAACCCCUCAUUCUGUAAGCUUGGUGCUGCUUCCCUUGACUAUUAAGGGGGCAGCCGACAGGUUAAUAAAAACUUGCUCACCUG